CUACGGGACGCUCCAGUAGGGAAUAUUGGACAAUGGGCGAAAGCCUGAUCCAGCAACACCGCGUGCACGAUGACGGCCUUCGGGUUGUAAAGUGCUUUUAGAGGAGAUGAGAAAGGACAGUAUCCUCUGAAUAAGCCUCGGCGAACUACGUGCCAGCAGCCGCGGUAAAACGUAGGAGGCAAGCGUUAUCCGGAUUUAUUGGGCGUAAAGCGCGUGCAGGCGGUCUAGCAAGUUGGAUGUGAAAGCUCCCGGCUCAACUGGGAGAGGUCGUUCAAUACUGUUAGACUAGAGAAUAGGAGAGGGAGGUGGAAUUCCGGGUGUAGUGGUGAAAUGCGUAGAUAUCCGGAGGAACACCAGUGGCGAAAGCGGCCUCCUGGACUAUUUCUGACGCUAAGACGCCAAAGCUAGGGUAGCAAACGGGAUUAGAUACCCCGGUAGUC
rnacentral:rRNA from 1 species